rnacentral:rRNA from 1 species
UAGAUUGAUCUGGCUAGGGAUGAACGCUAGCGACAGGCUUAACACAUGCAAGUCGAGGGGCAGCGGGGGUGUAGCAAUACAUCUGCCGGCGACCGGCGCACGGGUGAGUAACACGUAUGGAACCUGCCCCCUGCCGGGGGAUAAGCGGAAGAAAUUCCGUCUAAUACCGCAUAAUACCGCAGCCGGGCCUCCGGCAUCGGUCAAAGGAGCGAUCCGGCAGGGGAUGGACAUGCGGCGCAUUAGCUGGUUGGCGGGGUAACGGCCCACCAAGGCGACGAUGCGUAGGGGUUCUGAGAGGAAGGUCCCCCACAUUGGAACUGAGACACGGUCCAAACUCCUACGGGAGGCAGCAGUGAGGAAUAUUGGUCAAUGGGCGGAAGCCUGAACCAGCCAAGUCGCGUGAGGGAAGACGGUCCUAUGGAUUGUAAACCUCUUUUGCAGGGGAGCAAUGCCCGGUACGUGUACCGGGAGGGAGAGUACCCUGAGAAAAAGCAUCGGCUAACUCCGUGCCAGCAGCCGCGGUAAUACGGAGGAUGCGAGCGUUAUCCGGAUUUAUUGGGUUUAAAGGGUGCGUAGGCGGACUUUUAAGUCAGCGGUAAAAAUGCGGUGCUCAACGCCGUAGUGCCGUUGAAACUGAGAGUCUUGAGUGAGCGAGAAGUAUGCGGAAUGAGUGGUGUAGCGGUGAAAUGCAUAGAUAUCACUCAGAACACCGAUUGCGAAGGCAGCAUACCGGCGCUCAACUGACGCUGAGGCACGAAAGCGUGGGGAUCGAACAGGAUUAGAUACCCUGGUAGUCCACGCAGUAAACGAUGAAUGUUAACUGUCCGGAGCGAAUGAGUUCUGGGUGGUACAGCGAAAGCGUUAAACAUUCCACCUGGGGAGUACGCCGGCAACGGUGAAACUCAAAGGAAUUGGCGGGGGCCCGCACAAGCGGAGGAACAUGUGGUUUAAUUCGAUGAUACGCGAGGAACCUUACCCGGGCUCAAACGCAGUCGGACGUCCGCCGAAAGGCGGAUUUCCCUCGGGACUGACUGCGAGGUGCUGCAUGGUUGUCGUCAGCUCGUGCCGUGAGGUGUCGGCUUAAGUGCCAUAACGAGCGCAACCCCUAUCGACAGUUGCUAACAGGUGAAGCUGAGGACUCUGUCGAGACUGCCGGCGCAAGCUGAGAGGAAGGCGGGGAUGACGUCAAAUCAGCACGGCCCUUACGUCCGGGGCGACACACGUGUUACAAUGGCAGGUACAGCGGGAUGCCACGGGGCGACCCGGCGCGGAACCCGAAAACCUGUCUCAGUUCGGAUUGGAGUCUGCAACCCGACUCCAUGAAGCUGGAUUCGCUAGUAAUCGCGCAUCAGCCACGGCGCGGUGAAUACGUUCCCGGGCCUUGUACACACCGCCCGUCAAGCCAUGGAAGCCGGGAGUGCCUGAAGUGCGUCACCGCAAGGAACGCCCUAAGGUAAAACCGGUGACUGGGGCUAAGUCGUAACAAGGUAACCGUA